CCAGCGUCACCUGACUGCAUGUUGCUGUUGAAGGGAAAAUGGCUGCCCAUCUUUCAUACGGCAGAGUUAAUUUAAACAUUUUGAGAGAAGCGGCACGAAAAGAGCUUCGAGAGUUUUUGGACAAAUGUGCAGGAAGUAAGGCCAUAGUUUGGGAUGAGUAUCUGACGGGGCCUUUUGGUCUGAUAGCUCAGUACUCUCUUCUGAAGGAACAUGAAGUGGAAAAGAUGUUUACCCUGAAGAGCGGCAGACUCCCCUCUGCUGACGUCAAAAACAUCAUCUUCUUCAUCCGUCCCAGGCUGGAGCUUAUGGACAUCAUAGCUGACAAUAUAUUUAGUGAAGAUAAGCUGCAUCCGGCACGAGACUUCCACAUCCUGUUCGUGCCCCGGCGGAGCAUGCUGUGUGAACAGCGGCUGAAGGAGCAGGGAGUGCUGGGCUCCUUUGUCAACAUCGAUGAGUAUAUCCUGGACCUGAUUCCUUUUGAUGGUGACCUGCUUUCCAUGGAGUAUGAAAGCGCUUUUAGGGAGUGCUAUCUGGAAAAUGACCAGACGAGUUUGUACCACACAGCCAAAGGCCUCAUGACCUUACAGGCGCUCUAUGGUACCAUCCCUCAGAUAUUUGGGAAAGGAGACUGUGCACGUCAUGUUGCCAACAUGAUGUUGCGGAUGAAGAGGGAGUUUGCUGGCACUCAGAAUCAGAUUCUACCGGUGUUUGAUACUCUUCUUCUCCUGGACCGUAACGUUGACCUCCUGACCCCCCUCGCUACACAGCUCACCUACGAGGGACUUAUUGAUGAGAUCUAUGGAAUAAAUAAUGGAUAUGUCAAGCUCCCUCCUGAGAAGUUUGCACAGAAGAAGCAAGGUGAAGGUAGCAAAGAUUUGCCGACAGAGCCCAAGAAGUUGCAGCUGAACUCCGCCGAGGAACUGUACGCGGAAAUCCGCGACAAAAACUUCAACGCUGUUGGAGCAGCGCUCAGCAAAAAGGCCAAAAUUAUAUCUGCAGCCUUCGAGGAGCGCCAUAAUGCUAAAACAGUGGGCGAGAUAAAGCAGUUUGUGUCUCAGCUGCCUCACAUGCAGGCAGCUCGAAGCUCGCUGGCCAACCACACGUCUGUUGCUGAGCUGAUUAAAGAUAUAACCACAUCUGAGGCCUUUUUUGAUAACCUAACUGUGGAGCAGGAGUUUAUGACGGGCGUCGACACAGACAAGGUGAACACAUACAUAGAAGACUGCAUCGCCCAGAAGGAUCCACUAAUCAAGAUUCUGCGCCUGGUGUCCAUGCAGUCAGUGUGCAACAAUGGCCUCAAGCCGAAGGUGCUGGACUACUACAAGAGGGAGAUACUUCAGACUUAUGGCUAUGAACACAUACUAACGCUGAACAACCUAGAGAAGGCGGGUCUUCUGAAGCCACAGACAGGCUCCAGAAAUAACUACCCCACUAUUAGAAAAACCCUUAAGCUGUGGAUGGAGGACGCCAACGAGCAGAACCCAAACGACAUCUCGUACGUGUACAGCGGCUACGCUCCGCUUAGCAUCCGGCUCACUCAGGUGCUGGCAAGGCCAGGCUGGCGCAGCAUCGAAGAGGUGCUAAAGAUGCUCCCGGGCCCACACUUCGAGGAGAGACAGCAGCUUCCAUCUGGACUUCAUAAGAAACGUAAGUGCUAAACAGAGGCUGAACUUACUCUGGCUGUCUUUUUACUGUCCGGUUUGAGAAACCAGCUCUCUGGAUCAUUGAUGAGUUGUAUUGCACAAAAUUAACUUUUUUGAAUUUUACAUUAUGUUAUUAUGUCAUUCCGUCAUCGAAAAUAUACUUUGAGCGUUGUUGUGAUUCUUUCAUGCAUGUUUGAAGAAUCAUUGAAUCAGCUCACAAAGUACCGCCUAUUUACCCAAAGCUCCUCCUUGGAGCUGCAGUCUCCAGCUGAGAUCCCGCCUCCUCUGUGUCUCCCCCCGCUCAGCUCCUCCAGACUAGUGGCAGCAGCAAUGAGCAAACACCUGGUGGAACUGUUGAUCUCAUAAUAUGAGCUUCUUCUCAGUACAGUGCUCUUAAGAAUGGUUGUACAAGGCAUAAAAAGUAAGGCAUUGUUGUGAUGAUGUGCUGAAGGUGAUGAUGGAAAGAGCAGGAGACUCUUAAACAGACAGAGGCCAAAUUCAAGGAGUCAAAUGUCUUUUAAGUCAUAUUUGAUAUAUACAGCAUUUUUAUAAUAACUAAAGGCAACAUAGUUACCUGAUUGUGCAAUAAAAUCCCACUAUGUGCCUGAAAAAAAUACACAAUACUGUUCCUUUAAGAGCUGUGCUAGAAAGAUGUUCUUCUAUCUCCACCUUGUCAAGAGGCUGUGUUUGCACAUAUGUUUGCCUCUUAUCUUGAACACAAUCUGUGUUUUUCGGUUUCAGUAAAAGUAACCAUGGUAAUUCACCCUUGUACGAUGCAAACCACCUUCCUGACUGAGAACCCAGAGUUGAACCUUUGAGUUAUCAUGCUGAGACGUUAAUCCUGCUGCUGGGCCGCUGCUCAUCCUGCCACUCGUCACAGAGUGAAAACAAACGUCUGUCUGCCCUGCGUAGAUAAGACGCAGGCUUUGCUUUAGAAAGGGGUAAAGCUGAACAGUGGAAGAGUGAUGUCUGGAACCUGACAAUGCAACCGAGUUAUCGUCAAUGUCAGAUUACAAACUGGAUUACAAAAUAUGCGUGUUUUCUCUCAGUGGUUUAUUUUAGGCAGCAGAAGAUCUUAAUAAUACAUUUUAAUUAGACACAUUUUAAUUAAAAUGAGCUAAUUAGAGGUGUGAGUUUGGGCAUUAGAUGGCUGACUCGUUGCUACAUGCCUCUUUUCAAUUGGUUAUGGAGGUGAUAAUAAGAAACCUUAAUUUAAUUGCUGUAUUUGUUUUUUGGGGGUCUUUUUGUACUUUGGUGGAAGUAGUGUUUUGUUCUGAUCUGACCAGAGCAUCUUCUUCCACAUUUUUACUUAGAGUCCAAGUAAAAAUGGACAUACACAAAUGGUGUACAUUUGUUUUGUGGUGUACAAAACAGAUGUACACCACACUUCAAGAUUUUUACUUGCAAAAAGAACAUUAAAAAUAUUUUUCUAUGGGUAUGAACACUUUUGAAAGUAAGUUGAUUGGUAGGUAGAGGGUUUUUUCCCCCAUUCUUUUUUAUUUCUUGAGUUCA